rnacentral:lncRNA from 10 species
CUCACUCAUUGGAUCUGUUCAGAGAUGCCAGAGGAGGAAAGGGUUCUCACCUAAGACACUCAGAGGCCUGAGUGUUUUUGGGCCCUUGCCCAAGGGAGUGGGUGUGCAGCAUGUUAUACAGCCUUCAUGCAGUUCUUUGCUCUUUUCUGUGAGUCAGAGUCAUGUGCUGUUUAAAAUAGGUGGUGACAGUGGGCAGGGCACUCCAAACACAAUAGCAAUUCAUUGAGUGCAUUGGGAGGGAGAGUGUGACCUUUCAUCCAAAGCCUCAGCGAGGCUCCAUUUGACUGUUGUAAGAUCAGAAUGAGCAUGCAGACCCACUGAGUUGACUGGCAAAGCUUUACUAUGGAUAACCACAGAUGCAACCGCAUGCUGUGUCUUUAGGAAAAUGGGAGCAAGUGGAUUGUGUCAGAUGUCCAAAUGGUAACCAUCACCUACUCAACUGGAGGAGACUAUUUUUGUGCCCGAUUUGCUUGCUGGAAACUGCAGAACUUCAAUGUCUGCAGUGAAAAUGGAAAGAAAAGAAAACCAGUUGUCUGCCUUGGUGAUGAGAGCAGAAAGUCAAGAGCAGCAAUAUAGGCAGCUAACAAGCAUUUAAUGAUUCAGCUGGUAGACAGGACUACAGCUGGACAUUGGAGAGAAGCAGCUUGACUUCAGAAGGACAGCUUGAUGGCAUAUAACUUCGGAGAAGCAUCCUGCCGGAGACAGCUGGGCUUCAGAGGAAGAUUACCUACCCACUCUGUCCCCUUUUCAGCUCCCCUUCCCACUGAGAGCUACUUUCAUUGGCAAUAAAGUCCCCUGCAUUUAUCAUCUUUCAGUUCAUUCAUGCAACCUCAUUUUUCCUGGAUGCUGGACAAGAGCUCGGAAGCCACAAUUGUGCAUACAAAAGGCGGUUGCACUGGCACUCUGCCCUCCAUGGGGCCUGCACAGAGUUUGCUCCUGCCAGUGCUAAAGCAUCUGGCCAGUUCCUGCACCUGCUCACCUUGCACUCCCUCC